rnacentral:rRNA from 1 species
UACGUAGGGCGCGAGCGUUGUCCGGAAUUAUUGGGCGUAAAGAGCUCGUAGGCGGCCUGUCACGUCCGCUGUGAAAUCCCGGGGCUCAACCCCGGGCCUGCAGUGGAUACGGGCUGGCUGGAGGCAGGCAGGGGAGAACGGAAUUCCUGGUGUAGCGGUGAAAUGCGCAGAUAUCAGGAGGAACACCGGUGGCGAAGGCGGGUCUCUGGGCCGAUACUGACGCUGAGGAGCGAAAGCGUGGGGAGCGAACAGG